rnacentral:rRNA from 1 species
AUGUGCUUUAUCAGGAGAUUCAUGGAGGAUUUGGAGAUCGCCAAUAUGCGCACUCCCCAGACUUUCAAGGGAAGUGCGACUAGACCUCAGGAAAAAGUCUGGUUACCACCUUCAGGCGAUGCAGCAAAGUUUAAUUGUGAUGGUGGCCUAUCAACUUUGGGGGAGAAGGGAGCAGCUGGAGUUGUCUGUCGGGAUAAAAAUGGGAAAUAUUUAGGUGCCUCGGCGGUGGUGUAUGACAGCCUAACUGACCCGACAAGCUUGGAGGCUCUAGCAUGCAGCGAGGCACUAGCCCUCACACGGGAUCUGAACCUACAGGAGCUUGUGAUCAGACUGUGUCGAAGUAAUAUCAAACAUCAGCAAGGCAGGAUCACCAUCUUAUGCUCCCAUUCUGAGGGAAAUUCAAACCAGUAG